rnacentral:rRNA from 1 species
AGUGAACGCUGGCGGCAGGCCUAAUACAUGCAAGUCGAACGGCAGCACAGCAGAGCUUGCUCUGUGGGUGGCGAGUUGGCGGACGGGUGAGGAAUACGUGGGAAUCUGCCCAGUCGUGGGGGAUAACGUAGGGAAACUUACGCUAAUACCGCAUGUCGCCCUUCGGGGGAAAGCCGGGGACCUUCGGGCCUGGCGCGAUUGGAUGAGCCCACGUCGGAUUAGCUAGUUGGCGGGGUAAAGGCCCACCAAGGCGACGAUCCGUAGCUGGUCUGAGAGGAUGAUCAGCCACACUGGAACUGAGACACGGUCCAGACUCCUACGGGAGGCAGCAGUAGGGAAUAUUGGACAAUGGGCGCAAGCCUGAUCCAGCCAUGCCGCGUGAGUGAAGAAGGCCCUCGGGUUGUAAAGCUCUUUUGUCCGGAAAGAAAAGCGCCGGGUUAAUACCCUGGUGUCCUGACGGUACCGGAAGAAUAAGCACCGGCUAACUUCGUG